rnacentral:lncRNA from 1 species
UGGUAACAGCAAAAUCAACAGCAAUCAGAUCUGGAAAGCCAAUAUGCUCACUGCCAUAAAACUGAAAAGAGAGCUCAUUGUGCCUUGGGCACAGCAUCAGGUUUAAUAGAAAAGUAGGCAUGUUUAUAGUCUCAGAUUUACAACAUGACUUAUAAACACCUUAUUACUUAGAGUCCAGUCUGCUGUCCUAGAAACUAAGAAUGUGACUUUGUUAAGCAGAAGAAUUUGUUGACAUAAAGGUCUUGACUCAGUUGGCCUUUGUGGUUAACCAAAAUGCAUUUACUCCUGAGAAAGUCAACACCAGCAAACAAAAUGCCUCUUAUACUACAAUACGACAGAGGCUAUGAAAUGUCUAGGUCCAAGAACAAAAAUCAAAAGAAUAUCAAUGGGCAGCAACCACAUGAAUUCAAUUGACAAAACAUCAAUGAAGCUGAACAAAUUAAAAGAACUCAUCAGUGUUUCAUCAGGUCUGGAGCAAAAGAUGAAAAGAUUUGCCCAACAUGAAUCUUCUUAGCAGAUUUUCCCAGCUAUGAGAAUCAGAAGAAAAGCAGUUAGUGAAGCUGCAGCAAAUAUUCCUGAAUGGAUCAAUGACAAGGCCUACCCAGUCUAAAGUAAUGAGUUGCCUAGAGCAAAUGUUUUUUUUUUCCUUUUCCAUGUGUAUUUUUUCCAGGUUUCUGUAAGUAUGUACCCACUGUCCCCCUCAGAUGACGAUUACAUUGGUGGACAAGUGUUAUUGUGUUAUAUUGAUCAUUCUUGUACUUAUUUGUAUUGAGUAACUGUGAUAUAUUAUUUUAUUUUUUAUCUUAUUAAGUAAAUGUUCAAAAGGAAAAGAAAGAAAGGAAAGGAAAGGAAGGGAGAGAGGGAGGGAGAGAGGAAGUUAACAUAGUUUGGGAAAAAAUAAAACAG